rnacentral:rRNA from 1 species
AUUGAACGCUGGCGGCAUGCUUUACACAUGCAAGUCGAACGGUAACAGGUUAAGCUGACGAGUGGCGAACGGGUGAGUAAUGCAUCGGAACGUGCCCGGUCGUGGGGGAUAACGCAGCGAAAGCUGCGCUAAUACCGCAUACGAUCUAAGGAUGAAAGCGGGGGACCGUAAGGCCUCGCGCGAUCGGAGCGGCCGAUGUCAGAUUAGGUAGUUGGUGGGGUAAAGGCUCACCAAGCCAACGAUCUGUAGCUGGUCUGAGAGGACGACCAGCCACACUGGGACUGAGACACGGCCCAGACUCCUACGGGAGGCAGCAGUGGGGAAUUUUGGAAAAUGGGCGAAAGCCUGAUCCAGCAAUGCCGCGUGCAGGAAGAAGGCCUUCGGGUUGUAAACUGCUUUUGUACGGAGCGAAAAGGUCUCUUCUAAUACAGGGGGCUCAUGACGGUACCGUAAGAAUAAGCACCGGCUAACUACGUGCCAGCAGCCGCCGUAA